CCGAUUCCGAUGUAAGCACACGAGGGCCGUUUAUUCAAGCUCGAGCAGGGGCUCCCAACCGUCACCGACGCAGCGGAUCAGAAUUGAGAGCCCCGAAUUUCAAAUUAGCGGGGUUUUUAUUGUGGUUACAGCAAGAUCAAAUGAAUGAAUUAUCUAACAGGGAAAUGAACGCUGGAUGUAAUAUUACUUUAAGCCACAUCUGAAAUGAAUUGGAAGAUCAAAAGACUACAUAAUGACAUCAAUUGAGUAUACUGUCUCAUUUCAACUCCCAGCAACCUGACGAAUACAGCAUCAGUGAAGAGCAAAUGAGAUAGUCUAGAUGAAGUCGUGCACUGUCCGGCACAGAGUAACUGUCCAGUAUCUAUCAGCCA
rnacentral:lncRNA from 1 species